UCUGAAUUCAAGGUGACAUCCAGGCCAUACUACUGAAAUCUCUAGGGGAAAAUUCCACCUUAUCUUUUCCCGCUUCUGGUGGCUUCAGGCACCACCUGCCACGUUGGCUUGUGGCUGCUUAACUCUUAAUUUCUCACUCCUUUGCCUUCAUACGGCCUUCUCCUUUUUCUCCCUAUCUCUCCUUUGUCUCUUAUUCAGACAUUUAUCAUUAUAUUUAGAGCUUGCCCAGAUAUCCAGAAUCAUCUCAUCUACAGAUCCUUCAUUUAAUCAACAAAGGCUCUCUUUAAAAAAUGAGGUCAUAUUCACAGAUACAGUUGUUAAUCUUUCUAGCUACUGACAUGCUUUGGCUCUGUGUCCCCAUCCAAAUUGCACCUCAAAUUUUAAUCCUCACAUUUUGAGAGAGGGACCUGGUGGGUGAUUUGCUGAUGAGGGUGGUUUCCCCUAUGCUGUUCUCAUGAUAGUGAGGGAGUUCUCGUGAGAUCUGCUGGUUUAGAAGUGGCAAUUUCCUCUGUCCUCUCCCCUGCUGCCUUGUGAAAAAGGUACCUUCUCUUCUUUUGCCUUCUGCCAUGAUUGCAAGUUUCCUGAGACCUCCCCAGAAUGCAGAAUGGUAAUGAGUUUAUUAAGUAAUGGAAGCAUCGCCAUACUGAAUAACAAGAGUUUUUUUCUUGGAGUCUUCCAGGUUUUCAGGAUUACACCUAUAGAAAGAUGGAAACUGAGAAGGCUAAAAGACAGAUGCUGAGUACCCUCAUGUUCAUUGAGGGUAAUGUUUUUGUAUUCAUUGCCACUUCUGCUUCUGAAAGCCAUUGAAUGUGCAUUUCAUGUCUGAUACUGGGCAAGCUAUGGUCUGAAAUUCUCCUGAAUAGUGGCUUCUUUCAUGUUCUGCCUGCAGUAGGAACAAUGUGAUAGUAUAAGCUCCUCGGGAGCAGAAAUUUUGUUUUUUCUGAAUAUCUGCAAUACACAGCAAAAAUCAUGUGCAUUUAGGAUCCAUUUAACAACAAAUGGCAGAAAACAUAGCUACAAAUUGGCUUAACUAAUAAAAGCCAGUGGUGUGGAUGACCCAAGAGCAGCCAGGAUGGGAGACAGCUAGACAGAGCCUGCAAGCCCCUCUGGAAUACUUUCACUAUCAGAACACAAUGAAUGACAAACCUUUAAAAACUCCUAUGAGUUACAGAGAAAGCUUCCAGUGAAGAUGGUAGUAUUGGCUGAGUCUAGGAAAUGGAAGAAAGGAAAAACAGAACAGCAGGAGCAAAAAAAUAAAGGCAACAUUCUAGCAUGUUAACUAUGUGUGUCCUUAUUUCUUUCAUCUUAAAAUUCUAAUUUUAAAAUGUUAAAAUGAUAAAUACUAUAUAACAUUAUCGGAUGUUUAAGAAAUGUAAUAAAUAAAUAUCACGCACCUCACUACCAAAACACAUCAUUCAUUUUAAUUUUGC
rnacentral:lncRNA from 1 species